AAUGAACGCUGGCGGCAUGCCUUACACAUGCAAGUCGAACGGCAGCAUGACCUAGCUUGCUAGGUUGAUGGCGAGUGGCGAACGGGUGAGUAAUGCAUCGGAACGUGCCUUUUAGUGGGGGAUAACGUAGCGAAAGUUACGCUAAUACCGCAUAUUCUCUGAGGAGGAAAGCAGGGGACCUUCGGGCCUUGCGCUAGAAGAGCGGCCGAUGUCGGAUUAGCUAGUUGGUGAGGUAAAGGCUCACCAAGGCAACGAUCCGUAGCGGGUCUGAGAGGAUGAUCCGCCACACUGGGACUGAGACACGGCCCAGACUCCUACGGGAGGCAGCAGUGGGGAAUUUUGGACAGUGGGCGCAAGCCUGAUCCAGCCAUGCCGCGUGAGUGAAGAAGGCCUUCGGGUUGUAAAGCUCUUUCGGCUGGGAAGAAAUCGCACCCUCUAAUACAGGGUGUGGAUGACGGUACCAGCAUAAGAAGCACCGGCUAACUACGUG
rnacentral:rRNA from 1 species